GACGAACGCUGGCGGCGUGCUUAACACAUGCAAGUCGAACGAAGUGGCGCACGGGUGAGUAACGCGUAAUCAACCUGCCCUUCAGAGGGGGACAACAGUUGGAAACGACUGCUAAUACCGCAUACUGAAGGUGGGGUUUGCGUCUGAUUAGCUAGUUGGGGGGGUAACGGCCCACCAAGGCGAUGAUCAGUAGCCGGUCCGGGGGGGUGAACGGCCACAUUGGGACUUAGACACGGCCCAGACUCCUACGGGAGGCAGCAGGGGGGAAUCUUCCGCAAUGGACGAAAGUCCGACGGAGCAACGCCGCGGGAGGGAUGACGGCCUUCGGGUUGUAAAGCUCUGUUAAUCGGGACGCGGUACCGGAAUAGAAAGCCACGGCUAACUACGUGCCAGCAGCCGCGGUAAUUC
rnacentral:rRNA from 1 species